CAGAUAGAAGCCCGCUGGUUUGGGUAAUUAGCUUUUAACUAGUUUAUUUUGGGAUCGAGGCCCCCCUAUUUAG
rnacentral:tRNA from 1 species